rnacentral:lncRNA from 1 species
UUAAACCUAAGAAGAGCUCCGGAGGUUUCUAGGAGGGGAACCUAAGAUUUUCAUCGCAUCAAAAUUGACGGGAUUUGGAAUUUCAUCACUCUCACCACCCUCCUGAUCAGCUUCUUCCCCGGCUGCUUCAUCUUCUUCCAUGGAGAUGCAGCCUUUUUUUCCAAAUUUUCAUCAUCUGCGAGCAUUAGAUCCUCUCCUAGGAACUCAUCGUUAAACAGCUCUUCUUCCAUAAGGUCGUCGUUUUCCACCCAGUCACCGAGCCCUUCAUCUUCGUUCGCUAGCAUCUCAUCCUCUGUCUCUUCCUUCUCAUCCUCCAUUUCGUCCUCCACGAUUGUAUCCUCACCAAGUUCGGCAAUCAUUUCGGAUCGAAAAUCGAAAUCCAGUUGCUUUAUCUUUUUUUCCUCUCCAAUAGUCUCGAGUUCAUCAUCCUCAUACUUAUCUUCCAGCGUCAUAUCAUACCAGCUCCUUCUGGGUUCAGAAACUUGCUUUCUUCUCAAAAAAGGGAUCAGAGAUUUGGUUGGGAUCACUGUCGGCUCAGGUACUUGCAUAGAUGCUUCCAUGGAUACUUCCAUCGCAAAGUUCAGGCUUUUCUUUGCUGAGCUUCCUGAUUCCGAGCUGUUUCCCAGAUCAAUUCAUUUUUCCUUGUCUUUUGACAUAACAUCAGAUCUCUUCUGGAGAUUUAGGCGGAAUGGUCUCUCUCUUAGGUGUUAUGUUGACUUGAAAGGUUGUUUUGCCGAUUAACGGUUGAUAGGAUCUCCGAUAUUUUCUUUUGGGAGUCCGACACCUGAGAGUGGUGAGAAGCAGCAGUAGCACGUUCAUUAAUCUGAAGUUUUUGGUAGUCUCUUGAAGGUGUUGUUUCUCUAAUUUUGUUUGACUCUUCCCUCUUUCUAUUUGGUGCAAACGAAUCCUCAUAGCGUCUCUUUCGAUCAACUGCAUCCAGGUGGUGUGAGGUCUCCCGAAAGCGGGGAGUUGUUAUGGCACGUGAGUCUUUUUGUCUUCCAUUUCUGGGCUCAUAUGGGAUCUCCAUUCUUUUCCAGACACUAUCUAUUUCUUGGUGUGAAGUCUCUCUUCCACUACGGUGAGGAGAUUCCUUUACUGCAGAAGAGGUGUAAGGAAUGGUUUUGUUUUCACGGCUGUAUUCUCAGUCAGGUGCCUCAUACGAGAGGGAUUGAUGCUACUUCCUGCUUGUUCGUAUGCCAAAGGAAUGACCUUUCUUCUUGGGUAUUCCUCUCUUAU